rnacentral:lncRNA from 1 species
UCGGAUUGGGUAGAGCCUUGGAAAGGCAAAGUUAAGUAUGGAACCGCAAGAGGAAUAUCCUAGAAUCGUCUUUUCCUUCUGCUGUUUCAGUUUUUGAGCCCCAAAGUGACAAAAUAUUAGGGAAUCGGUCUGGAUUAAAUCCUGGGGGUGGGAUCUGUUAAGUGUGCCACUGCCCUGUUUUAGUCUGCCCUGCAUAAAAUGUAGAGGGCCGUUUGUCAUCGAGAGUACUCUUUGGGUAAAAAGUAAGACUUUUAACUUUUGAAAGACAUCCAAAAAGAUCAACAUGUUUAGGGUUUUCUAGUAUCCUUAAAUGACUCUACUUAAAGUGGAGGUCCUUCAGGACUACAUGGAAAUAAUUUGAAUUUUGAGAACCUGUUGCAGGCAAUAUUCCACAAGUAAAAUGUUAAAGUCAAUGUAUAGCCGAAGAGUGACGUGUAUACCAUAGGUAAUAUCACUAGAGCAGUUAACGGAAUGCAGCUGCCUCAACUACUCUCCACAGGAACACCUGGAGUCUUGUUUAAAAUGCUGAUUUUUAUUUAGUAGGCCCGAGCAGAGGCCCGAGAUUAGACUUACAACAAGCACCCAAGUGAUAGAGAUUACUUCAUCAGAACCAUUUUCUGAGUUAGUAAAACCCUCAUUACUUACCUCAUGCCCUACUGGACACCUCUGACCCUUUCUCCUCCCUGAACAGCCCAUUAUUCUCUCCUGGCUAACCAGUAGACACAAAGCAAAGAGUUAAGCAUGGGGGUGGGAGGAGAACCCCAGAUCUGAGUUCUUGCUUAUUGCUUUCUAUUUAUGAUACUGGUCUGGUUCCACAUAUUAUAGGUUUGUUUCUUCACCACCACGUUAGAUGUAAUAAUGCCUGUCCUUUGUCACAAAGUUGCUGUGUUUUAAUGUCAUAAUGUGAAAAGACACUGUAGGCUGUUAUUGGUUAUAUCAAUGCUGUUUUAAGAUAGCGUACAAAUAAUGGGUUCCCCUGUGACAGUGUCAUGUAUAUGUCACACUUUGUUCUUGUUACCCUACACACACUGCUGCUCCUCCUUGCUAUCAGUCACAACUCAGAUAUUUAACAGGCCAGUGUGAAUGUGAAACAUUUUGAAAUAUAUAUAUAUGUAUAUUAAAAUAGAUUAUAUCUAUGAAAAUUAUGUGCCGGGCAUGACACUUGUUCUCUUUUACAAAUGAAGAAACUGGGCACAGAUUGCUGUUACACCAAGGGGACAGAGCUAUUAAGUGGGAGAAGUGGAAUUUGAAUAAGCCAGGGUGCACAGAUUAGUGAGGACUACUGGGACCUACCAACCAGAAACUCAACACACGGGGAGGACAAUGAAGCAGACUUCAAAGAAACCAGUUCCUGUUGCCCUCAUCUAACAAGCUUCAACAGAGAAGUACACUGACACUUUACUGCUAUGCAAUAAAGCACAGCAAACCGG